AGUGUCAAAUCAAGCUCUGAAGGAAUUACACAAUUUCAAACUAUUCAAGUAAAAAUGAGUUAAGACCUGGCUCUGGUUAACUCAUGAACAAAAGGGUAACAAGCAGUGAGCGACUCCCACUAGAGUCCUCCUGUUUUGCAAGUGAAAAAGAAAAUUAAAUAACUGGAAUUAUUCUCUGUCGCUCUGAAUCACAUGCCUUGUUCAGGAACUUUAGAAAACCCGAAGGGCAAACAGCUCUGAAACCACUUGCAAAUGAUCUCAGGCUGUGUGACUUGUGCAGUGACUGCGUGCGUAAGCUAGCUGCCUUCUUCAUGUGAUAACCCACCAGCGAAUAAAGAAAGCUUCAGAGAAUACUUAAGAGCAGAGGUAUGGUGGAGCGGGGGCACUUAUCAUUGCCAUCAGCGCAGCCUGAGCCUUCACACCCAGCCUGACCCGCGCUCGGGAAAACUGAAGGAUAUUCACAGAACUGACCUCGUUCCAGCAGCCAGUCUGGGGAGAAGGUGGCUCUGGGCGCAUAUCAGCUCAAGAUCGGCGAGGCCAGUCUCUGCAUCUGCAAGAGCUGCUCCCUGCAGACUCAGGGAUGUGACCAGGCAGCCUGGGUCCUGGACAGCCCUCUCCUUCUGCAUGUCCAGGGGAAGUCACCCAGCCUCUCUGCGGCUGCAUUUCCUUACCUGUAAAGUGCAAACAGAGCUAGUCGCUGCCUCACCAGUUGCUGUGAGAUUUGAACAUGCUGGCAUGGGUAAUGAGGUCGGAAGUCUCUGGAACAUAGGGCCCUUCAGUGCAGGUUGCACAGGACACCGUGCGGCAGUGCUGGAGACCUCAGCCUCUGCUGCAGCAGCUGCUCCCGGGUCUCCCGUCUCUGGCCAGCCCCUGGGGCCUUGACCUGGUCCAACUCUGCCGUGCAAUGAAGCUGACAACCUCCUGACGCUGUAUGGCUCACCCCUGCCCAGAACACCUCUCUCUGCUCCCUGAUCCCUUGAGGAGAAGAAGAGAUUUCUGUCUGGUCCUUCACAUCUACUCCUGAGUCUCGGCCAAGCAGUCCCGCAGGCAGCUCUGAGGAACCCCUGCAGCAGCAACCUACAGACCCCCAGGAUGCAACACUGGCUUCUCCUGCUCCCUCUCUGUCUCUUGGCCCUUCCUAGCAACACACCUUCACUGGCCUGGAGCCCACCUUGUACCUCCAGGUAGCACACACACACCCUCACCUGCCUGAGACCUGCACCUGAGCUGCACACCUCUCUGUUUCUAUUUUUACUUUUCAGGCUUGGUUACUGUGCCUUCAUGCUCAGUCCUGCCCCCAGGACCUGCCCCACCUUCUUGCACCGAGCUCCUGCUGCUGGUGACCGAUGGUGGCCCGUGGUGGGGGUGCCACCAUCAGCAACAGCAGAGAAGCUGAGCCCUAUGGGAAGCUGUGGCCUCAGGACCCUGCCCUACUGAACCCGUUCUCAAGGCCCAGCACAGUCCCCUCCAGGAUGACCUGCCAGGCCUGGAGAAGAACCUGCUGCUGGAAAGUCUUCCAAGAGCUGCGAGAGUCGGAAGACCACCCAGCCUGUCAGCAAGUGGUUCUGGGGUUCCCACUGUGGUGCAGGAGAGACUCCAGAGGAGGGCAGAUGGCAGUCUCCUCUCUGGAGCUCCGUGGGCCUCACGGUUCCCACACGGGCAUCAUGUGGGUGUUCAGUGGAGAAGAAAGGCCGUCAGGAUGCUCUCAGGGCUGAGGGUCAGAGGUAAGCCCCCGCCCACUGUCGUGGUCCAUUGCGUCUGUGAAACACCCAUGGCUGUUGUGUGCACCCGUGGCAUUUCUAGGGCACACUGCCUGCCGGAGUGCACAUUCCUUGGAAGUUGUCAGUGGUGUAACUGAGGGUGCCCACGGGCUCUCUCCCCAAUCUGCCACCCCUCCUCUGAGCCCCGUGCCUUGCCCAGCAGUUUAGGGAGUCAUCUGUGAGAUGGGGUGAGCUGAGACCUCCUGUAGCUUCCCUGCCUAACCCAUAGGAGUGCCAGGCCCACAGGAAGGGGCCUGUGGGCAUUCGCAGAAUCGUGCACCUGGUCCCCCAGGCCUCUUUCCAAGUCAGAUUCUUCCCAGACCAGUGUCAGCCCAUAGAACUUGAAUGUGGGCCACGUGUAUCAUUUUACACUUUCUAGGAGCUAUGCUACAGCAAAAAGAAACACAUGAAAUUAACCUCAGUAAUAUGUUUUAUGUAUAUCAAAGCCAUUAUCAAUUUCAAUGAUAGUCGGUAUAAAAUUAUUAAUAAGGUUUUUUUUUUUGGCUUGCACGGAAUCUGUGAAAUCCAGUGCAUGUUUUGCACUGCAACAUGUCUCGACGUGGAAUUGUCACCCCUCAGGUGCUCAGCAGACACACGUGGCUGCAGCUGCUGCCGGAGGCAGCAGGUCUAGCCUCCCGCAGGCCUGGGGGUGACUGCACAGGGGUGGGGCUGGCUCGGGAGGCAGGCGGCAGUGAUGCCAUCGUGCCACAAGUCAUAAAGCAAGCCGCCUCUGGGGCUGUACUGCCGCAGCCCCUUCCUCUGUCCCACAGUCCUCCUCACUUGCCUCCCCACCAGCUCUGUCUCUUGUGUGCAGCACGCGCAGUGGGAACAAAAGGGACUGGGUGAGGACUUUGAGAUGUGUGCGCAGCUGUCACGGACCAUCUGGCUGCCCUGGAGUCCCUCUAACCCCACACCCAGCCGAGCCCCAUUACCUGCAGAGAGCCCACCUGUCAGCGUGAUAAAGGUUAGGGAUGGCUGAGGUCCAUGACUGUAUCCACGCUAUGGCUUCUGAAGACCUGCAGCCUUCCACUAAUUCAGGCUGUCUUUUCUGGGGCACUGGAGAUACGUACAGAUUGGCAAUUCAAUGUGAGCUCAUUUUAUUAGAAAUAACCAACCGUAUGGCACUUAGUGAUGCGUCAACGUGCCUUCU